GAGCGGAUGAGAAGAGCUUGCUCUUCGAUUCAGCGGCGGACGGGUGAGUAAUACCUAGGAAUCUGCCUGGUAGUGGGGGACAACGUUUCGAAAGGAACGCUAAUACCGCAUACGCCCUACGGGGGAAAGCAGGGGACCUUCGGGCCUUGCGCUAUCAGAUGAGCCUAGGUCGGAUUAGCUAGUUGGUGAGGUAAUGGCUCACCAAGGCGACGAUCCGUAACUGGUCUGAGAGGAUGAUCAGUCACACUGGAACUGAGACACGGUCCAGACUCCUACGGGAGGCAGCAGUGGGGAAUAUUGGACAAUGGGCGAAAGCCUGAUCCAGCCAUGCCGCGUGUGUGAAGAAGGUCUUCGGAUUGUAAAGCACUUUAAGUUGGGAGGAAGGGUACUUACCUAAUACGUGAGUAUUUUGACGUUACCGACAGAAUAAGCACCGGCUAACUCUGUGCCAGCAGCCGCGGUAAUACAGAGGGUGCAAGCGUUAAUCGGAAUUACUGGGCGUAAAGCGCGCGUAGGUGGUUCGUUAAGUUGGAUGUGAAAUCCCCGGGCUCAACCUGGGAACUGCAUCCAAAACUGGCGAGCUAGAGUAGGGCAGAGGGUGGUGGAAUUUCCUGUGUAGCGGUGAAAUGCGUAGAUAUAGGAAGGAACACCAGUGGCGAANNGACCACCUGGGCUCAUACUGACACUGNNNNGCGAAAGCGUGGGGAGCAAACAGGAUUAGAUACCCUGGUAGUCCACGNCG
rnacentral:rRNA from 1 species